GGCCAGUCUAUGAAAAAUUUACACAGAGGUUCAACAGAGCAGCUCAGAAAACAACCCAAAAUUACUCUCAAGACAACCACACACAGGGCAUCAUGGAGAAAAGUCAGUGGGACCUUAAGAGGAUACGUUUUCAAAGAAGACGGCUUACCCGAUUGGAUGACUUUGUGGUGACUUACAAGAUGACCCUGAAUGGUCUGUUGAGAGUUCAGAGAUUCAUUGAAGGGCAAGCAAAGGAGACAUCAUGUAGAUGAGGAGGAAUGGAAACAAAGGAGACAGAGGAAGCGAGGUGUCUAUGUGAGCCCUUUAGUCAAACCCUUUGUAAUGCAAAAGAUGAAGACCUCUGAGAAAAAGAUACAAACGCAGACACUCACCAAGGAAACAGGAGAAGAGGCCCAUCAAGAUGACAGAAAUGGACAGGUACAUCUUUUUGGCAGAUUAAAUAAUGUAAAAAGCUGUGUCGCACUAACGUGGACCUUAAACAUUUCAUUUGGCAAAGCAGGC
rnacentral:lncRNA from 1 species